GGGUGAGUAACGCGUGAGCAACCUACCCUCGAGUGGGGAAUAACAUCGAGAAAUCGGUGCUAAUACCGCAUAAAGUCGAGAGACCGCAUGAUCUUUCGACCAAAGGAUUUAUUCGCUUGAGGAUGGGCUCGCGUCCGAUUAGCUAGUUGGUGAGGUAACGGCCCACCAAGGCUUCGAUCGGUAGCCGAACUGAGAGGUUGAUCGGCCACAUUGGGACUGAGACACGGCCCAGACUCCUACGGGAGGCAGCAGUGGGGAAUAUUGGGCAAUGGGCGAAAGCCUGACCCAGCAACGCCGCGUGAAGGAUGAAGGUCUUCGGAUUGUAAACUUCUUUGAUUGGGGAAGAAUAAAUGACCUACCCAAAGAACAAGCCACGGCUAACUACGUGCCAGCAGCCGCGGUAAUACGUAGGUGGCAAGCGUUAUCCGGAUUUACUGGGUGUAAAGGGCGUGUAGGCGGCUCUGCAAGUCAGAAGUGAAAUUCCUGGGCUCAACCCGGGCGCUGCUUCUGAAACUGCAGAACUUGAGUACUGGAGGGGAAAGCGGAAUUCCUAGUGUAGCGGUAAAAUGCGCAGAUAUUAGGAGGAACACCGGUGGCGAAGGCGGCUUUCUGGACAGUAA
rnacentral:rRNA from 1 species